rfam:Hordeum vulgare subsp. vulgare, WGS project CAJW01000000 data, contig: morex_contig_49775
UAACUACUCCUUCCGUACGGAAUUACUUGUCACAAGAAUGAUAUAAAUGGAUGUAUCUACAAUUAAAAUACAUCUAGAUACAUCCAUUUCUACGACAAGUAUUUUCGAACAGAGGAAGUAUUAU